UGCCAAUCGCCGUCAUUCAGGCGUCGCCCCACCGUCCUAAGCUUGGAAACCCCGCCCAGGUGCCACCGGCAGGUACGUUCAGGAAUUUGCAUUGAUCUUCGGGAUAGAAGACAAAACAAAGAGGCCGCUGGAUUGUAGAGUGAUGAGGGAAGGGGAAAUCUGGAGACAUACAGCCCCCUGACUCAAAGGGAAGCCUUGAAUCCAAAUGACGGCAGGCUAAAAGGCGUGGUACAGGCAGUAAAGAUCACGUCACUGAAGGAGUAUUUAGCUGAGUACAUGUCACACAAUGCUGUGGGCCACAUGCUGGAAAAAUGGGACUGGAGUAGACUGGUGCUUGAUGACCGGUGGAUACACAACGGGCCGAAGGACCUCUUUGCGUGCUGUAUGACCACUACAAGGCUCACCUGGUGGCUCCCCAAUUCUGCCCUCCACCAAUGUCUGGAGUGCUACUCGGCCCCUCCAUUCUGUUCUGCUGUUCGGUAAGAUCACAGCAAGUACCAAUCGUGGACCUCAUUCCUGCCUCCACCAGAUAUCCUCUUGAUUUCUGUUUGUUCAAACUACAUUUGUUCACCUCCUCGGAAAAAUUAAAUCAAACCUGCCAGCCGUGAUUUCCCCUGACAAAGUCAUGCUGAGUAUCGAUGAUUGACCCUUGCCUCUCCAAGCGGAGAUUUAUUCCAUCCCUGGAACUUUUUCCCUAUAGCAUUCCUCCCACGGAGUUUAGAUUCAGUAGUGUUUAGUUCUCUUUUUAUCCCCCACUUGGACAGUGGUUCAGCAUUUGCUAUCCUCAAGUCCUCUGGUGCACCUCCUGUGUCCAGAGAGGAUUUGCAAAUUGACAUCAGAGCUCCUGCAAUCUCUGUCCUUUUCUACAGUAGCCUUGGAGACAUCUCAUCUAGGCCCAGGAAUUUAUCAAAUUCUAAACCUCCCAAAUUUAAUACAUUCUCACUCUCAGUUGUAAUUUGUUCAAGUGUGUUGCAAUCCUCUCCAGCAAUAAACUUACCUACAAAACUA